rnacentral:lncRNA from 1 species
UCUUCAGCAUGUUAUUAUUAUUUUUCUUAAAAGUAGCCAGAAAGCAAUUUUAAAUUAUCAAAUUUUAUUUCUGAAGAUCGGACUUUGAACAACAUAGCUAGUUUGUGCUCUCGUUACUCUACAGACAAAAAAGAAGAAGAAGAAGAAGAAGAAGAAGAAGAAGAAGAAGAAGAUCCAGAGAAGAGAAAAGAUAGCCAACGUCAGGGAGCCUGUUUAUGAAAAGUCAAAACUCUAUAUCUACUCAACCAAUGCUCCAUUUCCUCCAUGUUUCCACAGAGCAUGUUCCUUUUUCCUGGUGACAUAAAAAGAACAAAACCAAAAAAUGCUAGAAUUUGUAAAUUUAGGUCAAUGAAAAAACUCCUUAGCUGUUUACCCAUCUUUAAGUCUUACUCUCAGCUUUGCCAUGGAAUUCUUGACCACAGUCCCCUAAGACCACUGUAAAAUGAGGGAGAUUAAAGCAAACGCUGAAAAAUCCCUUGUAGCUCCAAAAGCUUGUAUUUCUUCUCACCUACUUUUAUUUCUUGAAUUAUAUUUAUAGCAUCUUGGAAGGCUCUAAACACAUCAUAAUUAACAGGGUUUUUUUUUCUGCAAUGAAUCAGAAGAAACAAAUCCUCUGCCAAGUAUCCCCAGCACACAUGCCAUUCCUCCAGAUGAGUUCUCAGGAAAUACACCCUGCACAGCUCCGGGACUCAAUACAAUUUCUUGAACAUGCCUCUUCUCACUUGUAUUUAAACUGGCGCACCUAAGUAAGGUCUCCCCUCUAUGAAGUGAUCCACAUCAGCAAAUAUUAUUACAACUCCUAAUGCAAAAGGAUUCAAAAAGUGAAAAACGAAAACAAAAUAAUAUAUGGCUGGUGAUUAAAAGAAGAUUUAGAAAAUCAUGGAGACAGAGAGUCACAGUUUACGACCUUGAGACCACACAUUGUUAUGGAAAAUGUAUGUUUAGGAUGGAUUUUUACUGGAGUACCCAAAACAUUGAACUUUCACCAAGAAAGUUAGUGAUAGUCUUUUCUGCUUAUGUUUUGCCUUGUGCCUUUUUUUUCUGUGUGCUUUAGCUCUUGUUUUGUUCUUUUUUAAAAAGAAAAAAAGAAAAAAAAAAACCUCAGGAUGUUAACUCUUGUAUUUCUAAAGACAGAUGAUGCCCAAAGAGUUAGAAAUUUAAUUGUUGAGUCUUAAUAUCCCAUUUUCUGGAGGAAAAUGUAUGAAAUAAGAGGGUUCUCGUCAUAGAGAAAAUACACAUGCUAAAUUGACAAGGCUUGAAAAGCCAACAUUCAAUGUUCACAAGUAGCGAGAACAAAGAGCACCCUAAAGCCUGAAAGAUCCAAAGUCUCUAGCUUCCUAGAUUCUGUACUCGGUGCUUCAGGUUCCAGAAAAGAUUCAGCUCUUUUUUGGAGAACUGAUUCCUUCCUUUCAUAAAAGCCAAAUCUCUGACAUACAUUCCAUCUGCGUUUCAGGAUCUUGCUAUUACGACGCUAAAGACUAGGAGCCCUUCCCUAGAAGAAAUGCAACAUCUCUAGCAUUGAUGAGCUUUCUUGUCAUUCAGAGAUACAAACUAUUAUAGAACCUCAAAGUGGGUGCCAUCACACUAAAUGUAUCAUAGUGAGUACAGGAUAAAUUUUGGCGCCCUUCUCAGGCAUUCCCCAGCAGGGAUGGGAUCCUGCCCUCUGCAGGAAUUCUUAGGCAACAACUUCCUAAGGAGGUAUUUCUCAUUUAAAUAUAACCUCCUGGCAACCAAAUAUUUAUCUGGAAGAAAUGGGGAGUGGCCCUGUCCAAUCAGGCACCUGGGUUCAGUCCAUUACUCAAAAAUAACAGGAUUGUGGUAUUUGGGGAACGCCUCCCCACGGAGAUUUGCCAAGAAAUAGCUCAGCAAUCCCCCAUCAGCCACCCAUCCUUGUCAACAUGCCUCCCUGGGCAUUAGAGUGAGUGGACAGCACCGCACCCAAAAAUCAAACCCCGGGCAUUCUUGGCACAGAUACCCAAAGGCGAAGUCAAGAGUGUACAUGACAAAAUCCUCGCCUGCUGCCCUGUUCAUCACAGCAUGUGAUGUAACUUGAUCCUUGCUGAGGAUGAGACAACUAGACCAUUGUCCUCCAUUUGUUGAAUCACCAAAUUAAAACUAUCUCAACUUAACCUUUCCAAGAUCUGGGUGCAGCAAUAUCCAAGUUAGCAUAAAGGGGAAAAAAAAAACACAAGGAAAAUGCAUAAUGACGCAAAGACCACAAACCACCUCUGAAGCCAAGAAAAAGACGUGAUUAGAGGGAAACACAUCAGUACCUUUAAUCCUCCACUGACUUUGGAAAAACAACAAAAUGCCAGCUUCCACCAGAUCAUUUCUUCUUAAUUAAAAGUUAGCCAGAUUCUUUUGGAGCACUCAAUUUU